rnacentral:rRNA from 1 species
GGAGGGGGCUAGCGUUGUUCGGAAUUACUGGGCGUAAAGCGCGCGUAGGCGGACCUGCAAGUCGGGGGUGAAAGCCCGAGGCUCAACCUCGGAACUGCCUUCGAUACUGCGGGUCUCGAGUCCGGGAGAGGUGAGUGGAAUUCCUAGUGUAGAGGUGAAAUUCGUAGAUAUUAGGAAGAACACCAGUGGCGAAGGCGGCUCACUGGCCCGGUACUGACGCUGAGGCGCGAAAGCGUGGGGAGCAAACAGGAUUAGAUACCCUGGUAGUCCACGCCGUAAACUAUGGGUGCUAGCCGUCGGUCGGCAUGCCCGGUCGGUGGCGCAGCAAACGCAUUAAGCACCCCGCCUGGGGAGUACGGUCGCAAGAUUA